AUUUUUAGGGUUCCGUACUUCAAAAGAAAAAAACGGAACCCUUAUAACAUCACUUUGUUGUCCGUCCGUCCGUCCGUCUGUCAAGAGCGUUUUUCUCAGGAACGCGUGGAGGUAUCAAACUGAAAUUUGUAUAUGAUACUCAGGUCUACUGUCCCUGGAAGCUGUAGAAAAAUCAACCUUCUAAGCCAACGCAAUCAAAAGAUACAGCCAUUUAGGCCGCAAAUUUCCGCAAAUUUUCGAAACUCGCACGGGAAUCAAAACCUACAGGGUACUUCCCGUGAACUUAGAAUCUUGAAAUUUCGUACGAAGUCACGUCAUAUAGUACAGAUAUAGGAAAAAUUACGAAAACCGUAAAUUUUUAGUUUCAUCAUAUAAAAAAAAAAAUAUUUUUGAAAAAUAUUUUUGACAAUUUUGAAAAUUUCAAAUUACUACUCCUUAUCUCAUGAACGCGUUGAGGUAUUAAAUUAAAAUUCAUAUUAAAUACUUAAGUCUAUAAUACCUUUAAACUGUAACAAAAUCAAACUUUUAUGUCAACGCAAUCGAAAGAAAUAAUAACAAUUUAAGCCGCAUAUCGUCCGUCCGUCUGUCAAAUUUUCGAAACUCGCACGGGAAUCAAAACCUACAGGGUACUUCCUGUGAACUUAGAAUCUUGAAGUUUCGUACGAAGUCACGUCUUAUAGUACAGAUAUAGGAAAAAUUACGAAAACCGUAAAUUUUUAGUUUCAUCAUAUAAAAAAAAAAUAUUUUUGAAAAAUAUUUUUGACAAUUUUGAAAAUUUCAAAGUUACUACUCCUUAUCUCAUGAACGCGAUGAGGUAUUAAAUUAAAAUUCAUACUAAAUACUUAAGUCUAUAAUACCUUUAAACUGUAACAAAAUCAAACUUUUAUGUCAACGCAAUCGAAAGAAAUAAUAACAAUUUAAGCCGCAUAUUUUCAAACUCGCGACUACUUGCGAGGGAAUUAAAACCUUCUCUGUAAACGAUAUUUGAUGUUUAUUGAAAAAAUACAGCCGUGAAAUUUCAUUUUGCAAUA